CCUACGGGAGGCAGCAGUGAGGAAUAUUGGUCAAUGGACGAGAGUCUGAACCAGCCACGUAGCGUGAAGGAUGACUGCUCUAUGGGUUGUAAACUUCUUUUAUAUGGGAAUAAAAUGUUCCACGUGUGGGUUUUUGUAUGUACCAUAUGAAUAAGGAUCGGCCAACUCCGUGCCAGCAGCCGCGGUAAUACGGAGGAUCCGAGCGUUAUCCGGAUUUAUUGGGUUUAAAGGGAGCGUAGGUGGAUUGUUAAGUCAGUUGUGAAAGUUUGCGGCUCAACCGUAAAAUUGCAGUUGAAACUGGCAGUCUUGAGUACAGUAGAGGUGGGCGGAAUUCGUGGUGUAGCGGUGAAAUGCUUAGAUAUCACGAAGAACUCCGAUUGCGAAGGCAGCUCACUGGACUGCAACUGACACUGAGGCUCGAAAGUGUGGGUAUCAAACAGGAUUAGAUACCCCUGUAGUC
rnacentral:rRNA from 1 species